rnacentral:rRNA from 1 species
CCUACGGGGUGCAGCAGUCGAGAAUCAUUCACAAUGGGGGAAACCCUGAUGGUGCGACGCCGCGUGGGGGAAUGAAGGUCUUCGGAUUGUAAACCCCUGUCAUGUGGGAGCAAAUUAAAAAGAUAGUACCACAAGAGGAAGAGACGGCUAACUCUGUGCCAGCAGCCGCGGUAAUACAGAGGUCUCAAGCGUUGUUCGGAAUCACUGGGCGUAACGCGUGCGGAGGCUGUUUCGUAAGUCGUGUGUGAAAGGCGCGGGCUCAACCCGCGGACGGCACAUGAUACUGCGAGACUAGAGUAAUGGAGGGGGAACCGGAAUUCUCGGUGUAGCAGUGAAAUGCGUAGAUAUCGAGAGGAACACUCGUGGCGAAGGCGGGUUCCUGGACAUUAACUGACGCUGAGGCACGAAGGCCAGGGGAGCGAAAGGGAUUAGAUACCCGGGUAGUC